rfam:Candidatus Woykebacteria bacterium RIFCSPLOWO2_01_FTLL_43_14 rifcsplowo2_01_scaffold_223831, whole genome shotgun sequence.
CACUAUACUCUCACCUAUCUAAAGACAGUAGGCGUCCCGAGAAAAAUCGAAGGACUUAAUGUAAGCCUACCGAGGACACACUUCAGGUUAUAGUUUGUAAACCUACAACCGUAUCAGGUUCCUCGUUAUCUAAACGGGGAUUUUUUAUGGCUACA